rnacentral:rRNA from 1 species
UGCUGACGACCGGCGCACGGGUGAGUAACGCGUAUACAAUUUACCUUAUACAGGGGGAUAGCCUUUAGAAAUGAAGAUUAAUACCCCAUGGUUUAUAGAUAUCACCUGAUAUUUAUAAUAAAGAUUUAUCGGUAUAAGAUGAGUAUGCGUUCUAUUAGCUAGAUGGUAAGGUAACGGCUUACCAUGGCAACGAUAGAUAGGGGCCCUGAGAGGGGGAUCCCCCACACUGGUACUGAGACACGGACCAGACUCCUACGGGAGGCAGCAGUGAGGAAUAUUGGGCAAUGGAGGCAACUCUGACCCAGCCAUGCCGCGUGCAGGAAGACUGCCCUAUGGGUUGUAAACUGCUUUUAUAGAGGAAGAAACCCCUUCACGUGUGAAGGGCUGACGGUACUCUACGAAUAAGGACCGGCUAACUCCGUGCCAGCAGCCGCGGUAAUACGGAGGGUCCAAGCGUUAUCCGGAAUCAUUGGGUUUAAAGGGUCCGUAGGCGGGCAAUUAAGUCAGAGGUGAAAUCCCACAGCUCAACUGUGGAACUGCCUUUGAUACUGGUUGUCUUGAGUUAUAUUGAAGUGAGUAGAAUAUGUAGUGUAGCGGUGAAAUGCUUAGAUAUUACAUAGAAUACCGAUUGCGAAGGCAGCUCACUAAGUAUAUACUGACGCUGAUGGACGAAAGCGUGGGGAGCGAACAGGAUUAGAUACCCUGGUAGUCCACGCCGUAAACGAUGGUUACUAGUUGUUGGGAUUUAUCUCAGUGACUAAGCGAAAGUGAUAAGUAACCCACCUGGGGAGUACGUUCGCAAGAAUGAAACUCAAAGGAAUUGACGGGGGCCCGCACAAGCGGUGGAGCAUGUGGUU